CAAGGGGAGAAGCAAGCAAAUACUCCUCAGAAAGGUAAACGUUCAGGUCAAAGUAGUGCUACUGGGACUGUUCAUUCGGGAACGAGAGAUACUGCAGCCCGAUCAGAGACAAGAGUACCUGCACGUACAUAUGCUAUCCGGGCAAGGGAAGAAGCUUCUGCUCCAGAUGUGAUAGCUGAUUGACUUGAAGUGAAGUGGGUAGAUCGGAUCAACACAACAAAGCACACUAUCCAGAUCAAUUCCGGUAGCUUUUGUUUUAUGUUUGAAGAUUUAUAUGGCAUGUAUAGAGUUUGAAUGAAUUGAAGUAAAGAUGUUAUAAACUAGUUAACAAUAUUUGUACUAAAAUAGUUUUCGGUAAGUAGCAGUAGUUUGACUUUGAAAAAUCACUAAAAAUAGUAGAAAUGGAAUUAAAUAAUGAAUAAAUUAUGGAAUCGAA